UCCAGACUCCUACGGGAGGCAGCAGUGGGGGAUAUUGCACAAUGGGGGGAACCCUGAUGCAGCGACGCCGCGUGGGUGAAGGAGCGUUUCGGCGCGUAAAGCCCUAUCGGCAGGGAAGAAGGAGGACGGUACCUGACUAAGAAGCCCCGGCUAACUACGUGCCAGCAGCCGCGGUAAUACGUAGGGGGCAAGCGUUAUCCGGAUUUACUGGGUGUAAAGGGGGCGCAGACGGCAGCGCAAGCCAGGAGUGAAAGCCCGGGGCCCAACCCCGGGACUGCUCUUGGAACUGCGCGGCUGGAGUGCAGGAGGGGCAGGCGGAAUUCCUGGUGUAGCGGUGAAAUGCGUAGAUAUCAGGAGGAACACCGGUGGCGAAGGCGGCCUGCUGGACUGCGACUGACGUUGAGGCUCGAAAGCGUGGGGAGCAAACAGGAUUAGAUACCCUGGUA
rnacentral:rRNA from 1 species